GGUGCCAAGGCUGCUUUUCCCUUCUCUACCUACCCACAGCACCUAAAGCACCAAUCUUCUCCCGCCCCGUCCUUUAUUCAUCUCUACACCGCAACAUCUUGGAUGACACAGCAAGAUGUGUCCUGCAGCAUCCUGGUCAAGCUGUAGGUCACCCAGAAUCAUGAGCACAUCACCUUUGGGUGAUGGCAUUGUCAGCUGAGCCCUCAGCACAAUAUCAGUUCUGAGGUACAGCCAGUUCAGUGGGGGUGGCAAAAAUAGUUGCCCCCUUCUUUCUGGUCCAAGAGAGAUGUAGGAAACCCCAAGAGCAGGCUCCAGAGCUGUUGGAAGGCAAGAGGGAGUCUAAGCAAAGCCACAACAGGGAUUUCUUAUUUAUAGCAUCAUGGUGUUCACCUAUGACAUCCCUGGCUCUGUCCCAUUAAAGACACCCUGGUAUCUUUAUGAGCUGGGGCCACAGUGAGUGCUCCAUUCGUGUCUCUGCAAAUAUUCCCUCACCCAACCUUAUCCUGGCCCGGGAACAACUCAGAAGCACACCAGGACUCAAGAGGAAUUCGUCGUGUCCAGAACAGAAUUCCUGGAAAGCAGCACUGUGAGAAGCUUCAUGCAAAGUACUGCAAGAAAACAGCCCCCAGCCAGGAGGAGUGGAUCUGGGAGUCUGCAGAAAAUGAGACACAGGGUCUGCACAGACACUGGCUGAACCUGAAGACAGGAGGGAUAAAAUACAGAAUCAGAGCUUCAAAAAACUUUGGGAAGAGUGUGGUGCUGCUGUGCAAAAGCCAAAUGAAACAUGAAUAAAAGUUAAGAGAAAGAUGUGCUAAAAGGCCUGAUGGUUCGGUGACACCAGAUUUCAGAAGAAACAGGAGUAACUUACACAGAUGCCAGGAAGCACUGAUGUCUACAGACUUCCCCAAAGAGAGAACUAAGCCA